UACGGUGCUGAAGCAACAAAUGCCCUGCUUCCAGGAAAAGCCUCUAAGCAUCAGGUAACAUCAAAUCGUACCCCAAACCGACACAGGUGGUCAGGUAGAGAAUACCAAGGCGCUUGAGAGAACUCGGGUGAAGGAACUAGGCAAAAUGGUGCCGUAACUUCGGGAGAAGGCACGCUGACAUGUAGGUGAAGUGAUUUACUCAUGGAGCUGAAGUCAGUCGAAGAUACCAGCUGGCUGCAACUGUUUAUUAAAAACACAGCACUGUGCAAACACGAAAGUGGACGUAUACGGUGUGACGCCUGCCCGGUGCCGGAAGGUUAAUUGAUGGGGUCAGCGCAAGCGAAGCUCCUGAUCGAAGCCCCGGUAAACGGCGGCCGUAACUAUAACGGUCCUAAGGUAGCGAAAUUCCUUGUCGGGUAAGUUCCGACCUGCACGAAUGGCGUAAUGAUGGCCAGGCUGUCUCCACCCGAGACUCAGUGAAAUUGAACUCGCUGUGAAGAUGCAGUGUACCCGCGGCAAGACGGAAAGACCCCGUGAACCUUUACUAUAGCUUGACACUGAACAUUGAGCCUUGAUGUGUAGGAUAGGUGGGAGGCUUUGAAGUGUGGACGCCAGUCUGCAUGGAGCCGACCUUGAAAUACCACCCUUUAAUGUUUGAUGUUCUAACGUGGACCCGUGAUCCGGGUUGCGGACAGUGUCUGGUGGGUAGUUUGACUGGGGCGGUCUCCUCCUAAAGAGUAACGGAGGAGCACGAAGGUUGGCUAAUCCUGGUCGGACAUCAGGAGGUUAGUGCAAUGGCAUAAGCCAGCUUGACUGCGAGCGUGACGGCGCGAGCAGGUGCGAAAGCAGGUCAUAGUGAUCCGGUGGUUCUGAAUGGAAGGGCCAUCGCUCAACGGAUAAAAGGUACUCCGGGGAUAACAGGCUGAUACCGCCCAAGAGUUCAUAUCGACGGCGGUGUUUGGCACCUCGAUGUCGGCUCAUCACAUCCUGGGGCUGAAGUAGGUCCCAAGGGUAUGGCUGUUCGCCAUUUAAAGUGGUACGCGAGCUGGGUUUAGAACGUCGUGAGACAGUUCGGUCCCUAUCUGCCGUGGGCGCUGGAGAACUGAGGGGGGCUGCUCCUAGUACGAGAGGACCGGAGUGGACGCAUCACUGGUGUUCGGGUUGUCAUGCCAAUGGCACUGCCCGGUAGCUAAAUGCGGAAGAGAUAAGUGCUGAAAGCAUCUAAGCACGAAACUUGCCCCGAGAUGAGUUCUCCCUGAGACUUUAAGUCUCCUGAAGGAACGUUGAAGACGACGACGUUGAUAGGCCGGGUGUGUAAGCGCAGCGAUGCGUUGAGCUAACCGGUACUAAUGAACCGUGAGGCUUAACCUU
rnacentral:rRNA from 1 species